GAGUUUGAUCGUGGCUCAGAUUGAACGCUGGCGGCAUGCCUUACACAUGCAAGUCGAACGGCAGCACGGGAGCUUGCUCCUGGUGGCGAGUGGCGAACGGGUGAGUAAUGCAUCGGAACGUAUCCUGGAGUGGGGGAUAACGUAGCGAAAGUUACGCUAAUACCGCAUAUUCUGUGAGCAGGAAAGCGGGGGACCUUCGGGCCUCGCGCUCUUGGAGCGGCCGAUGUCGGAUUAGCUAGUUGGUGAGGUAAAGGCUCACCAAGGCGACGAUCCGUAGCAGGUCUGAGAGGAUGAUCUGCCACACUGGAACUGAGACACGGUCCAGACUCCUACGGGAGGCAGCAGUGGGAAUUUGGACAAUGGGGGCAACCCUGAUCCAGCCAUGCCGCGUGAGUGAAGAAGGCCUCGG
rnacentral:rRNA from 2 species